UAAAUGACGGUCAAGAUUUGGUGCCAUGCGAGGUGUCAGAUCGUAUUCCGCCAUUUUCUUCCGUUUCGAUGGUGAGAUGAGCAGAGAAUGCGAAAGGGAAGAAGAAGCUGACUGAGAUUUGUUUUUUAGGGUUUAGAAACCUAAUCCAAAACGACGUAGUUUUUUUGUUAUGGUGAUGAAAAAUAAAACCUCUUUUUUAAUUCUGUCAAGAAAAAUAAAAC
rnacentral:lncRNA from 1 species